AACGCGAAGAACCUUACCAAGAUUUGACAUGCAUGUAGUAGUGAACUGAAAGGGGAACGACCUGUUAAGUCAGGAACUUGCACAGGUGCUGCAUGGCUGUCGUCAGCUCGUGCCGUGAGGUGUUUGGUUAAGUCCUGCAACGAGCGCAACCCUUGUUGCUAGUUAAAUUUUCUAGCGAGACUGCCCCGCGAAACGGGGAGGAAGGUGGGGAUGACGUCAAGUCAGCAUGGCCUUUAUAUCUUGGGCUACACACACGCUACAAUGGACAGAACAAUAGGUUGCAACAGUGCGAACUGGAGCUAAUCCCCAAAGCUGUCCUCAGUUCGGAUUGCAGGCUGAAACCCGCCUGCAUGAAGUUGGAGUUGCUAGUAACUGCAUAUCAGCAUGGUGCGGUGAAUACGUUCCCGGGCCUUGUACACACCG
rnacentral:rRNA from 1 species